rnacentral:rRNA from 1 species
AGUGAACGCUGGCGGUAGGCCUAACACAUGCAAGUCGAACGGCAGCACAGGAGAGCUUGCUCUCUGGGUGGCGAGUGGCGGGCGGGUGAGGAAUACCUCGGAAUCUACCUUUUCGUGGGGGAUAACGGAGGGAAACUUACGCUAAUACCGCAUACGACCUACGGGUGAAAGUGGGGGACCGCAAGGCCUCACGCGAUUAGAUGCGCCGAUGUCCGAUUAGCUAGUUGGCGGGGUAAUGGCCCACCAAGGCGACGAUCGGUAGCUGGUCUGAGAGGAUGAUCAGCCACACUGGAACUGAGACACGGUCCAGACUCCUACGGGAGGCAGCAGUGGGGAAUAUUGGACAAUGGGCGCAAGCCUGAUCCAGCCAUACCGCGUGGGUGAAGAAGGCCUUCGGGUUGUAAAGCCCUUUUGUUGGGAAAGAAAUCCUGUCGAUUAAUACUCGGUGGGGAUGACGGUACCCAAAGAAUAAGCACCGGCUAACUUCGUGCCAGCCGCCGCCGUAAAAC